rnacentral:misc_RNA from 1 species
ACUGAUAACAAUCAAAAUACUAAUUCUGUUACUAGUAUUAUUAAUACUAGUAAUAAUGAUGAAGCAGAAGAAGUGGCUUUGAUACGUUACUCGCAACAAUCAGAUUUUCGUCGGGAUAUAAUAAAAGGAUCCAUGCGUGCUCAAAGACGCAAAACGGUUACUUGGGAAAUGUUUCAAGCAAAUGCUAAUUCCCCGCUUUUUUUGGAUCGAAUAAACAAAAUA